rnacentral:misc_RNA from 1 species
AGCUUAGAGGUCCAACCUAAAUUAUACAGACAUAUAGCAAGCAAUUGUCUAUAAUGUCUUUUGAAACAGAUCGUCUAAAGUCCAAUGGAUCGUGGGAUCUAAGCACUCUGAAAGUUAAAGCUACAUUUCGACCAGCUAUCUGGUUCGAACAAACCUAAUUUAUCUGUCACCUCCAGACAAUUGAUGAAGCAUCACCUGUGGUCAAUCUUCAAUCAAUUAUAGAUACGCCAAACUCCAGAAACCGCAUCAGAGAAAUGUUUACAAACAGAGGAUAUAGCUGCAUAAAAAUGCAUUCACAGGAGCAGCACCGCGUCAUUAGUUCAUCCAUUAAUACACCUAACACUUCCCUCUCUUUAUGUGCUCUCAUUCACCUGUGAGAUUUAAAUUUAGACUGGUAGUCCUUUGCCUGGGUAUUCAGACCUGGAUUUUGAGAAACAACACUACUGCAACCUGGUAUGCUGUUAUUGCCAUUGGGCAAAAAGGUCAAACCUGGAUUUUGAGAAACAACACUACUGCAACCUGGUAUGCUGUUAUUGCCAUUGGGCAAAAAGGUCAA